GAUGAACGCUGGCGGCGUGCCUAAUACAUGCAAGUCGAGCGAACAGAUAAGGAGCUUGCUCCUUUGACGUUAGCGGCGGACGGGUGAGUAACACGUGGGUAACCUACCUAUAAGACUGGAAUAACUCCGGGAAACCGGGGCUAAUGCCGGAUAAUAUUUAGAACCGCAUGGUUCUAAAGUGAAAGAUGGUUUUGCUGUCACUUAUAGAUGGACCCGCGCCGUAUUAGCUAGUUGGUGGGGUAAUGGCUUACCAAGGCAACGAUACGUAGCCGACCUGAGGGGGUGAUCGGCCACACUGGAACUGAGACACAGUCCAGACUCCUACGGGAGGCAGCAGUAGGGAAUCUUCCGCAAUGGGCGAAAGCCUGACGGAGCAACGCCGCGUGAGUGAUGAAGGUCUUCGGAUCGUAAAACUCUGUUAUUAGGGAAGAACAAAUGUGUAAGUAACUGUGCACGUCUUGACGGUACCUAAUCAGAAAGCCACGGCUAACUACGUGCCAGCAGCCGCGGUAAUACGUAGGU
rnacentral:rRNA from 1 species